rnacentral:tRNA from 1 species
GUUUAGAUAGUUUAAAUUAAAACGUUGAUUUGUGGUUUCAAGGAUAAAAUUUUUCUAAACA